UACCAGCUCUCCGAGUGGUAGGGAUGAUUAUUGGGCUUAAAGCGUCCGUAGCCGGCUUAGCAAGUCUCCUGUUAAAUUCAGCGACCUAAUCGUUGAGCCGCGGGAGAUACUACUAGGCUAGGAGGCGGGAGAGGUCGACGGUACUUCCGGGGUAGUGGUGAAAUCCUAUAAUCCCGGGAGGACCACCAGUGGCGAAGGCUGUCGACUAGAACGCGCUCGACGGUGAGGGACGAAAGCUGGGGGGAGCGAACCGGAUUAGAUACCCGGGUAGUCCCAGCUGUAAACGAUGCGGGCUAGGCGUUGGGGUGGCUACGAGCCACUUCAGUGCCGCAGGGAAGCCAUUAAGCCCGCCGCCUGGGGAGUACGGCCGCAAGGCUGAAACUUAAAGGAAUUGGCGGGGGAGCACCACAAGGCGUGAAGCUUGCGGUUC
rnacentral:rRNA from 1 species